GGUUCCGCUUGUCGUUGGCGGCAGGGAGCUCGGGGCCGCUGCGAUGUCUGGUAGUCAGAGCGGCCGCUGUAUGAGGCGGUUGGAAGAGGCCCGGAGCCCGGCCAGUUCCCACAAUAAUCAGUCGGGAAAGUUUUUUUUGGGGAGCACAGACCUAGACCUUUGGGACUUGGUUGAAAUGGGGGCCGGUGAUCUGGGCUUUCCGGACUUGAACGAUGUCCCAUUGUUUCCGCUCUCGCCUGAAGAUAACCGCCCUUUGGGAUCCAGUGGGAAUGAGACGGUCCCCAGCUCGGGGGCCUCGGAUGUGGCAACUCCCGGUCCCCGACAGCAGCCAUCCCGCUACAGUUUACCUGUGAGGAACAGGAACGCUGCGGCGACGGCGGCUCGCUUAAACCGGCUGAAGAAGAAAGAGUAUGUGACGGGCCUGGAGCUGCGCGCCAGCGGCCUGCAGGCCGAGAACCAAGAGCUUCGGGCCGAGAACCAGAGAUUGAGCCGGAGGCUGGACGAGCUGCAGGGAGAGGCCCGCUACCUGAGAGCUGUGCUCGCCAACCAGAGCAGCUUGGCGCGGCUGUUGAACAGGCUGAGCGGCCUGGACGGUAUGAAACUGAGCUCGUCCCUCUGCAGAGACACCGAAGGACAGGACCACGACUACGCGAUUCCCGGGAAACGGCUGAAAUCCGAAGAGGAGGAAGGAACCGCGGGAGGAGUUUGUCUGCAUGUGGAUCAGAGCCACGUCUCGAUUGAAUUCUGUUCCAGGUGUGCACAAAGUGCAUCUUCAUCGCUCAAAAUUUUCUUUUCUAGGUGUUUCCCUGCCAUACUGGAUGGUUGGGUUUGAAAUGGACUAACAUAACAUCUUCACAAUGUGUGAAUACUUCUCUGGAAGUUGAAGAGUGAUGGAACCAGCUGUUGGCCUCAUUCCUCCUUUAUAUUAAAGUGCUUCAAGAGGACGUUCAUUGGUACAGUAUACAGUAUUGCAAUGUGGGUGGAAGUUUUACAUACAUUACCCUUUCAGUGAAAUGUUCACUUGCUGAAGUCUGGUAUCUUUAUAGGAAAAUAACUUAGUAAAUUGUUACCCAGUUUGCAUCACACGAGUUGAUAACCUGUUCCACGGGUCUAGUAUUCUCUGUGGAAAAGAACUAGCUAACAUACAACUUGCUCUAUGUAACCUGUAAGCAUACAAUGUGGGACCGAAGUCGUAUGAGGUCAGACUGGGUAGGGGUGGCAUAUUCCUUAUCCUUCCCUGAUGGACUAUAAUGAACAACUUGGAUUUUUAUGAUGAUCUGGGAGCUUUCACAGUAUUUAGCAGAUUUACUGAAUUCAAGUUUGCAUGAGGUUUCUAGAUUGCUUAUCUUAUACCAUGACUAGUGGGCUCCCAUUGUUAUUGUCUUGAUUUUUUUCCAACCUUUAUAGGCGGCAGAUUUUUAUCCAACUAAAAUAGCUAUCUAAAUAAAACAGGAACACUUGUGAAUGUGAAAUUGCAGCUUAUGCUCUGAAAGAGAAAUAUCCUUUGCAAUCCAAUCUGACUGUAUGGAGUUUUGAGCUAUUAGUAAAUCUCUAUCAAUGGAAGAGAUCUUUUUAGAGAUGUAUUAGUGUAAUCAUAUAAUCAUCCUGGCAAGUUUAUCCUUAAUUACUUUAAUAACUUAAAUGAUCAAAACUAGCAUGGUAAUUUGAACUUAAAUGCUGUUUAAUAUUAUGUAUUUAUAUUCUCAUUUUUUUAAAAAUUGCAGAAUACCUAGAAAACAUCAAUAGUUUCAGCUUAUGAUGCUUAAUAAUUGGUCCAAUAUCCAGAAUUGUCUGUUUGUUUGAAGGGCAUUUUAUACCACUGUUAGUUUGCAUGUU